rnacentral:rRNA from 1 species
AUUGAACGCUGGCGGCAGGCCUAACACAUGCAAGUCGAGCGGAUGAAGGGAGCUUGCUCCUGGAUUCAGCGGCGGACGGGUGAGUAAUGCCUAGGAAUCUGCCUGGUAGUGGGGGAUAACGUCCGGAAACGGGCGCUAAUAUCGCAUACGUCCUGAGGGAGAAAGUGGGGGAUCUUCGGACCUCACGCUAUCAGAUGAGCCUAGGUCGGAUUAGCUAGUUGGUGGGGUAAAGGCCUACCAAGGCGACGAUCCGUAACUGGUCUGAGAGGAUGAUCAGUCACACUGGAACUGAGACACGGUCCAGACUCCUACGGGAGGCAGCAGUGGGGAAUAUUGGACAAUGGGCGAAAGCCUGAUCCAGCCAUGCCGCGUGUGUGAAGAAGGUCUUCGGAUUGUAAAGCACUUUAAGUUGGGAGGAAGGGCAGUAAGUUAAUACCUUCCUGUUUUGACGUUACCAACAGAAUAAGCACCGGCUAACUUCGUG